rfam:Schistosoma curassoni strain Dakar, Senegal genome assembly, scaffold: SCTD_scaffold0000017
AUUCGUCUAACGAGUCCCAGAUAGGAUGAAACGCGCGUCUUGUAU